GUACUAACAGUUGUUUUAUGGAAACCUUCUAGCAAAGCCUGACAGUGAAGCAAUCAGGUCAGUGAUGCAGCCCAGAGACAUGAAGACUUCUUCAUAGUCUGGUCACAUGCUGUGCUGGAGUCAGCCUCACACAGAUCACACACAGACAUGAGUGUGCCCACUCAGCUCCUGGGUUUGCUGCUGCUAUGGCAUACAGGUGCCAGAUGUGACAUCCAGAUGACUCAGUCUCCAGCCUCCCUGGCUGCAUCUGUGGGAGAAAGUGUCACCAUCACAUGUCAAGCAAGUGAGAAUAUUUACGAUUAUCUAAACUGGUAUCAGCAGAAACAGGGGAAAUCUCCUCAGCUCCUGAUUUAUGGUGCAACCAACUUGGAAGAUGGUGUUCCAUCGAGGUUCACUGGCAGUGGAUCUGACACACAGUAUUCUCUCAAGAUCAAUAGACUGCAGCCUGAAGAUGUCGCAGAUUAUUUCUGUCAACAAGGUUAUAGUAAUCCUCCCACAGUGAUUGAAGCCUUGACAUAA